rnacentral:rRNA from 1 species
UACGGGGGGAGCAAGCGUUGUUCGGAUUUACUGGGCGUAAAGGGCGCGUAGGCGGUCAGCACAAGUCAGUUGUGAAAUCUCCGAGCUUAACUCGGAAAGGUCAACUGAUACUGUGCGACUAGAGUGCGGAAGGGGCAACUGGAAUUCUUGGUGUAGCGGUGAAAUGCGUAGAUAUCAAGAGGAACACCUGCGGCGAAGGCGGGUUGCUGGGCCGACACUGACGCUGAAGCGCGUAAGCCAGGGGAGCGAACGGG